rnacentral:rRNA from 1 species
UACGUAGGGGCCGAGCGUUGUCCGGAGUUACUGGGCGUAAAGCGCGCGCAGGCGGCUCGUCAAGCCUGACGUGAAAGCCCCCGGCUCAACCGGGGAGGGUCGUCGGGGGACUGGCGGGCUUGAGGUCGGCAGGGGCUGGUGGAAUUCCCGGUGUAGUGGUGAAAUGCGUAGAGAUCGGGAGGAACACCCGUGGCGAAGGCGGCCAGCUGGGCCGGACCUGACGCUGAGGCGCGAAGGCGUGGGGAGCGAACGGG